GGGGAUUUAGCUCAGAGGUAGAGCACUUGCCUAGCAAAUGCAAGGCCCUGGGUUCAGUCCCCA
rnacentral:tRNA from 1 species